rnacentral:lncRNA from 1 species
UCCCACUGUUCAUACUCCUACAGGAGCAAUGUGGGAAUAAUUGGGAAUUAUUGAGUGGCCUUGCCUACCUCAUUCUCCUCAAAAGUCAUUGACUCCAUUCCAUGGCUUUAUUGUGCAGUUUUUAAAGGAAGAACACGAGUUUUGCAGAUAGUUGGGUCAUAGCCUAAUAUUAUUGUUGCCCCUUUUUCUAUUCAAGAGCAUGUUUGGCUUUGGCAAUCUCCUAAUACUUGGCAGAUAGCUUUAGCUAAUUUCCCUGGUCAAAUGGAAAGCCAUUACCUUCAUGAUAAAAUUAUUCAGUUUGCUCUUGUGACUGCAUUUAUUUUUCCCCAAAUUGUACGUGCUUAACCAAUAGUUGAAGCACUAACAGUAUUUACUGAUGGAUCGAGUUCAGGAAAAGUAGGUUUCUAUAGCCAUGGUCAUACAGAGAUAAUACAGACAUCUUAUACUUCUGCACAAUGAGCAGAACUUCAAGCUCUCAUUGUGCUUUAAUUCAUUUUUUAAAUGAGCCAAACAUUAUUUAUUCAGAUAGUUUACAUGCUGUUCGUGUUACAAAAAAUAUUGAAACAUCAACUACUGGGAACACACCAUUGCAAGAGUUAUUUAAUUUGUUUUAGAACUUACAAAAGACAAUUCAAAUGUGUCACCAUCCAUGUUUCAUUAGCCAUAUAAGUAGGGCACAUUCUGAUCUUCCAAGUCCUUUAGCAUCAGGUAAUGAUAAGAUUGAUAAACUCGUUGCUGUUUGUGAAUAAAUAUCUUUAUAUGAUUGUGCACAAGCCUCACAUUCUUUACAUCAUCAGAAUGCUUCUUCUUUACAUAAAAAAUUUAAUAUUCCUGGGGAAAAACUUGUCAAAUUGUUCAUCAAAUCUCACAAUGUUUUAUCCAUAUUUUAUCUUCACCAACUGGGGUUAAUCCCAUGGUUUAUUACCAAAUCAGUUAUGGCAAAUGGAUGUAACUCACGUCCCUCAAUUUGGCAAACAGUGUUAAGUUCAUGUUAUUGUUGAUACUUACUCUAGAUUUAUUUUUGCCACUGCCUGUGUAAGAGAAAAUACUCAGCAUGUUAUUUCUCACUGUCUAGCUACUUUUGCAGCAUUAGGAUGUCCUUUACAGAUUGAAAUUGAUAAUACUCCAGCUUAUACUAAUUUUUCUUUCCAGCAGUUUUGCCAUCAAUUUUGUAUUGAUCAUAAAUCAGGUAUUCCCCAUAAGCCUCAAGGUCCAGCCAUUGUAGAAUGAGCUCCUUUAUGAAUUAAGCUACAGUUACAAAAAAAGGGGAGAAAUAAGGCCCCACAAAAUGACCUUAAUCAUGCUUUGUUUUAUUUUUUUUUCCAAAUUGUGACCCUGAAAGUCACACUGCAGCUGAAAGACACAUCUUCCAUGGCAACAGGUUCCUUGGUCCAAGUUUGGUGGAAAGAUUUACAAACAUAACAACAGGAAUGAUCAGAUCCAGUGAUAAUGUGGGGUAGAGGUCAUGCUUGCUUUUUCCCAGAAGGUGCCUCUCAUCCUAUUGGGGUACCUGAAGAUGCUAUCAGACAUGAAGGACCUGGAACCGAGGUUCAGAUACUGAAGAUUGAUCCAGAGAUAUCAGCCCUGACCCCCAGCAGGAAGUGAGAGCUACAAAGGAGGAAGAGGAUGAAGAAGGCCCAGAGAGACCGAAUGUUGAAACUACCAUCAUGGAAACAAUGGAGAAUCUAAUGCUACAACCUGAACAGAUAGUUUGAC